GUGCUCACUUCAGCAGCACAUAUACUAAAAUUGGAACGACAGAGAUUAGCAUGGCCCCUGUGCAAGGAUAACAUGCAAAUUCGUGAAGCAUUCCAUAUUUUU